AACGAACGCUGGCGGCAUGCCUAACACAUGCAAGUCGAACGAGACCUUCGGGUCUAGUGGCGCACGGGUGCGUAACGCGUGGGAAUCUGCCCUUGGGUUCGGAAUAACAGUUGGAAACGACUGCUAAUACCGGAUGAUGACGUAAGUCCAAAGAUUUAUCGCCCAAGGAUGAGCCCGCGUAGGAUUAGCUAGUUGGUGAGGUAAAGGCUCACCAAGGCGACGAUCCUUAGCUGGCCUGAGAGGAUGAUCAGCCACACUGGGACUGAGACACGGCCCAGACUCCUACGGGAGGCAGCAGUGGGGAAUAUUGGACAAUGGGCGAAAGCCUGAUCCAGCAAUGCCGCGUGAGUGAUGAAGGCCUUAGGGUUGUAAAGCUCUUUUACCCGGGAUGAUAAUGACAGUACCGGGAGAAUAAGCUCCGGCUAACUCCGUG
rnacentral:rRNA from 1 species